GACGAACGCUGGCGGCGUGCUUAACACAUGCAAGUCGAACGGAAAGGCCCUGCUUUUGUGGGGUGCUCGAGUGGCGAACGGGUGAGCAACACGUGAGUAACCUGCCCUUGACUUUGGGAUAACUUCAGGAAACUGGGGCUAAUACCGGAUAGGAGCUCCUGCUGCAUGGUGGGGGUUGGAAAGUUUCGGCGGUUGGGGAUGGACUCGCGGCUUAGCAGCUUGUUGGUGGGGUAGUGGCUUACCAAGGCUUUGACGGGUAGCCGGCCUGAGAGGGUGACCGGCCACAUUGGGACUGAGAUACGGCCCAGAGUCCUACGGGAGGCAGCAGUGGGGAAUAUUGCACAAUGGGCGGAAGCCUGAUGCAGCAACGCCGCGUGCGGGAUGACGGCCUUAGGGUUGUAAACCGCUUUCGCCUGUGACGAAGCGUGAGUGACGGUAAUGGGUAAAGAAGCACCGGCUAACUACGUG
rnacentral:rRNA from 1 species